CAUGCAGUCGAGCGCCCCGCAGGGGAGCGGCAGACGGGUGAGUAACGCGUGGGAACCUACCUUUUGCUACGGAAUAACUCAGGGAAACUUGUGCUAAUACCGUAUGUGCCCUUCGGGGGAAAGAUUUAUCGGAAAAGGAUCAGCCCGCGUUGGAUUAGCUAGUUGGUGAGGUAAAGGCUCACCAAGGCGACGAUCCAUAGCUGGUCUGAGAGGAUGAUCAGCCACACUGGGACUGAGACACGGCCCANACUCCUACGGGAGGCAGCAGUGGGGAAUAUUGGACAAUGGGCGCAAGCCUGAUCCAGCCAUGCCGCGUGAGUGAUGAAGGCCCUAGGGUUGUAAAGCUCUUUCACCGGUGAAGAUAAUGACGGUAACCGGAGAAGAAGCCCCGGCUAACUUCGUGCCAGCAC
rnacentral:rRNA from 1 species